AUACCUUUCUCGGCCUUUUGGCUAAGAUCAAGUGUAGUAUCUGUUCUUAACAGUUUAAUAUCUGAUAUGUGGUCUAAUGGAUCACACGAUAUUAAAUUAAUUUUUUAAAGGGGUAGGCAUUCUGGUAGCUUGCUACCGGGGCUUACGCGUGUGUGUCCCCCUAGCGUUGCACUACUGCUUCGGGCUGGCGCACCCUAC